rnacentral:lncRNA from 1 species
UGCUAUUGUUUCAUUCCUGAUACCGUGGCCGCAUGUCCGAAGCCUGUGUUCAACCCUCGAGUCAGCAUUGACGAAGCCUGUCUGCAGCCUUCCUCGCAAUAUACAGGGUCCGACAAAUCGAAAGCGCUACCACCAUGGACGCCUACCCAAUCUUGGUCCUCCUGAUCCUGGGUCAUCUGUGCCAAAUUCAAGCUGCAACGUUGCACAAGCCCGAGAAAAACCCUGACGCACGGAGAAAAUAUCUCGUGGAAAAGAUUUCCCAGCAUCUCAUGGAUGAACACGAAGACCAUGGCGAAGCUCUAGAAGCACUGGGGACGUCGUUUAGCGCAGUGGUCGAUGAAACGGACGAGCAGUCCGUCACUCUCGUAGCUAUUCUCAUUGCUGCGGGAAUCGCAGGCGGAAUCAUAGGUGGUGCCGCAGGUGACGCUGCUUCAUCUGCUCUGUCGAAGGCAAUCGGUAACUAGCUUCGCUGUACCUCUGUUAUUCGGAUCACGACAAAUAUCCUGAACUGGUUGUUACGACAUCUAAAACUGUUAAGGUCGGUUUUACAUGCGACAUAUAUGUCGAAAUAAUAAACCCUGUUUCCAGAACACGAA